GGGUCGGUAGCUCAGUUGGUAGAGCGGCGGGGUGAAGUCCCGUGCGCAGCGGUUCGAUUCCGUUCCGACUCACCA
rnacentral:tRNA from 1 species